rnacentral:rRNA from 1 species
GACCACCGCGACUGCCUUGGGGGUCCAUUCCGCGUGGUCUUCGUCUUCGCCGUCGACAACGAAGACGUUGACCACGAGGAGGAGAAUGUCACGUCGGCCGGCGUGUACUCGUCGGAGACCGGCACGUGGGGCGAGCUGACCUCGAUGUACAGCGAAUUCAUGAUGUUCUUUGGAGAAUAUUCCAGCUUGCUCGUUGGGAGGUCUCUGCUCUACUUCAUGUCUGACGGUGGGUUGAUCCUGGAGUACGAUUUAGUGAGGCACGGCCUGACUGUCUUCGACCCACCCGACUACAAGUCUGACGCUGGGUUGUCCCUGGAGGAUGACAGAUUUAAACUCAUGCUUGCGGAGGAUGGUGGACUGGGAGUUAGUGAAGAAUGUGGCCAGCGUCUCAAACUGUGGACAAGGAAGGCGAGUGACACCACUGAUGCACCAUGGGUUGUGAAGUGCAUCUUCUGCUUGGAAAAUUUGUUUCCAACUAGCGAUCUCUUGGUCCCGGGUAUAAAUUAUAGAGUGACCGUGCUGGGCUUUACUGAGGAAGCACAAGUCAUUUUCGUUGACACGGUUGCCGGCCUCUUCACAAUCGAUCUGCAAUUAGGGUUGGUGACGGAGGUGCCGGAUGAUCGUGGCUUCUGCAAUCUGAUUCCAGUUGUCGGCUUCUACACUCCUGUGCCC